rnacentral:rRNA from 1 species
CUGGCCUCAAAUCAGGUAGGACUACCCGCUGAACUUAAGCAUAUCAAUAAGCGGAGGAAAAGAAACUAACAAGGACUCCCCUAGUAACUGCGAGUGAAGCGGGAAGAGCUCAAAUUUAAAAUCUGGUGGCUUCGCCGCCCGAGUUGUAAUCUGAAGAAGCGUUUUCCGCGCCGGACCGUGUACAAGUCUCCUGGAACGGAGCUUCAUAGAGGGUGAGAGUCCCGUCCAUGACACGGACUGCCGAUGCUUUGUGAUACGCUCUCAAAGAGUCGAGUUGUUUGGGAAUGCAGCUCAAAAUGGGUGGUAAAUUCCAUCUAAAGCUAAAUAUUGGCGAGAGACCGAUAGCGAACAAGUACCGUGAGGGAAAGAUGAAUAGCACUUUGGAAAGAGAGUUAAACAGUACGUGAAAUUGUUGAAAGGGAAACGCUUGGAGUCAGUCGCGUCGUCCGGGACUCAGCCUUGCUUCUGCUUGGUGUACUUCCUGGUUGACGGGCCAACAUCGAUUUGGGUCGACGGAGAAAGGGGGCGGGAAUGUGGCACCCUUCGGGGUGUGUUAUAGCCCGCCUUCCGCAUACGUUGGCCUGGAUCGAGGACCGCAGCGCGCCUUCAUGGCCGGGGACUUGUCCCACGUAACGCGCUAGGA